ACCCUGGUGCUUUUAAAGAAAACGAAACAGAUAGCAUUCCUUCUCUCUCUCUCCCUCUUUCUUCUCCUCUUAGCCUCCCCCAUGGCCGGUCAUGGGCUCAUCGGAAGGUGACUCCACGUUCGCUCGACGACCGGUAUCACACGAGGUGGGCUUCCCUUGUUCCUUCUCCGAACGGAGGUCGAAGACGAAGCCUUUGCGGCCCACCACAACGGAAGAGGAGAGGAAAGGCCCCGGUCGGUUCGUCGGAGCACCCCAAGCAGUGAAUCGUAGUCAUGGGAGUGUCAGAGGCGUGGAAGGCCGGUGAUUGGCGCCCCGAGCGGUGGUGACGCGCGUGAGAAGGUUGGUGGCUGAAGGCAUGCAGCUGAAAACUUUGGUGGCUGCUGAAAAUUUUUUAACAUAGUGGGCUUGGGCUAUUAGAGUUUAUAAAUUGGGUUUAGUCUUUUAGUUUGGGCCGGACAUAAUUGGGCUUGUACAAUAAUAAUAUUAAAAAAGAAGAAUUUGCAAAUGGGCUACAAUUAAAAGUAUUAAUAAAGAAGUUAGUGGUUUAUGGGCUCCA